ensembl:misc_RNA Metazoa_SRP Metazoan signal recognition particle RNA
GCCAGGUAUGGUGGUGUGUGUCUGUAGUCCCAGCUACUUGGGAGGCUGAGGUGGGAGGAUCACUUGUGCCUGGGAGGUUGAGGCUGCAGUGAGCCAUGAUUAUGGCAUUGCACUCCAGCCUAGGUGACAGAGCGAGACCCCAUCUCUA